GGAGAGAUGGCUGAGCUGGUCUAAGGCGCACGACUGGAAAUCGUGUGUACCCACAAAAGGGUACCGAGGGUUCGAAUCCCUCUCUCUCCGCCA
rnacentral:tRNA from 1 species